GGGUCAGUGAUGACUAGACCACUGCGCAAACUGAUCAGUGCCUAUAUAUUUAUAGUGCAUUGCUGAAGAAUUCAGUGCUGCUUAUUGCCUGAGACCC